rnacentral:rRNA from 1 species
GAUGAACGCUGGCGGUAUGCCUAACACAUGCAAGUCGUACGAGAGUUUUUAACUCAAGUGGCGGACGGGUGAGUAACACGUGAGAAUUUACCUUUAGGAGGGGGACAACAACUGGAAACGGUUGCUAAUACCCCAUAUGCUUUCGAGUCAAAUGAAUUUAUUCGCCUAAAGAGAAGCUCGCGGCUGAUUAGCUUGUUGGUAGGGUAAGAGCCUACCAAGGCGACGAUCAGUAUCUGGUUUGAGAGGACGAUCAGACACACUGGAACUGAGACACGGUCCAGACUCCUACGGGAGGCGGCAGUGGGGAAUUUUCCGCAAUGGGCGAAAGCCUGACGGAGCAAUACCGCGUGAGGGAAGACGGCCUAUGGGUUGUAAACCUCUUUUUUCAGGGAGGAAUAA